rnacentral:tRNA from 1 species
UGGUGGUUCAAUGGUAAAGUGUUUUUUUUUCCACAUAAAAUGCCUAGGUUCAAAUCCUGGUAGGAUAU